CUGGGCGUAAAGCGUGCGUAGGUGGUCGUUUAAGUCCGUUGUGAAAGCCCUGGGCUCAACCUGGGAACUGCAGUGGAUACUGGGCGACUAGAAUGUGGUAGAGAGGUAGCGGAAUUCCUGGUGUAGCAGUGAAAUGCGUAGAGAUCAGGAGGAACAUCCAUGGCGAAGGCAGCUACCUGGACCAACAUUGACACUGAGGCACGAAAGCGUGGGGAGCAAACAGGAUUAGAUACCCUGGUAGUCCACGCCCUAAACGAUGCGAACUGGAUGUUGGGUGCAAUUUGCCACGCACUAUCGAAGCUAACGCGUUAAGUUCGCCGCCUGGGGAGUACGGUCGCAAGACUGAAACUCAAAGGAAUUGACGGGGGCCCGCACAAGCGGUGGAGUAUGUGUUUUAA
rnacentral:rRNA from 1 species